rnacentral:lncRNA from 1 species
UGAUGGUAACUCUUAAACUGUGCAAAGGCACAUGGAAAAUGAGGUGAUUGCUAACAGCCAACAUGGCUUCACUGGGGCAAAUCAUGUCUGACAAAGUUACUUUAGUAACACAGAAGGAGAUGUAUUCAGAGAAACAGGCACAAUCUUCCUCUAAAAUACUUUGAGUUAGAACUGGGGCAAGACCCAUAAUACAUUCAGAAGGCAAGUAUAGAGUAAGUUGAGGGAGAACUGUUCUAAAGGUGUAGAAAAGUAUUAAUGCUGGUACAGGACACGAGGAUAAUUUUAGACUUGAAGCAACAUGGAGAAAUCACAAAGAGAAGACAGAAGAGGAAUGAUAUCUUGUGUAAGAAGGAGAAGGAUGACUGUGGAUCUCAAGAAGGUUUGCUGACAGGUGAUUUCUCUGACACCUUGGAAGACAAGAAAGGACAUUCCCAGCAUGUUCUGCACACCUACACCUGGGUGCACAAGCUCAAUCCAGACAAAGUUCAUUUAUUCUGAUGGAGUAUCCACGAAGACUGGGUUUGUAACGAGGCCAGAACUGUGUGGUGUGACAAUCAGCUGUCCUCCUCCUGGAAGUUUCUCAGUGAGCUGUGCAUGCAUGAACACACAUUUCUUUUUUUCCUCCCACACACAAAAGCUCUGUGUCAAGUUGUUUGAGUGAGUUGUGACACGUAUUAAUGUUGUUGGCUUCUAAUGUUGUUGGGUUCUUUCCACUGGGGGCUGACUACUGCAAUCCCAUUGGAAAAGUUUUCCACCAAACUCAGAAAUAACUUUCAUUAAAACUCUAUCCAGAUACCCUCAAGCAUGAGUGUCUUUCUACUCAUGAAUGUAAGCAGCAAAGAAAAGCAAUAAAUCCCUUUGAAUAAUGUGCCA